rnacentral:lncRNA from 1 species
UGGUUUUGUUGCCAAGUAAAGGUGUACAUCUAGUCCUAAAGAUAUGAUGACUCAAUUAAAAGCUGUUUGUCAUAGUUUUUGUUUUUAACCUUGUGGUCUCUUACCAGUCCACACUGCCUAUAGGGCCCUAUGACUUAAUUUAAAAAUAAAUGUCUAUGAGCUGGGCACCAUGGUGCACAUCUGUAAUCCUAGCCUCUCGGGAGGCUAACACAAGAGAAUUGAGAGUUCAAGCCAGCCUCAGCAAUGGUGAGGCACUAAGCAACUCAGCGAGACCCUGUCUCUAAAUAAAAUACAAAAUAGGGCUGGGGAUAUGGCUCAGUGGCCAAGUGCUCCUGAGUUCAGUCCCCAGAACCCCCCCGCAAUGUCUUAAAGAGCUGAAAAGCACACUUGUAUUACAUUGAAUUUUUUAAAAAUAUUUUUAGUUGUAGUUGACACAAUACCUUUAUUUUAUUUAUUUAUAUGUGGUGCUGAGGAUCGAACCUAGCACCUCUCAUGUGCCAUACGAGCGCUCUACUGCUGAGCCACAACCCCAGCCACCCCCAUUGUAUUUUUUGAGGCCAACUACAUUGUUUUUUCAGAAUGCAAACAUUAAAAUAAACUAACUUUUAGGAUCUCCUUUCUUUCUUUUCUCUUUUGGGACUGAACCCAGGGGUUUUAUCCCCAGUCCUUUAAAAAAAAGUAUAUUUUGAGAUAGGUCUCACUAAAUUGCUGAGGGUGGUCUCAAACUUGGGAUCCUCCUGCCUUGGCCUCCUGAAUUGAUGGGAUAAUAGGCAUGUGCCUUAUGCCUACCUCCUAUUAUUUCUUAAUAUCAUAAUAUAGUAGGAACCUCAGUAUAGAUUUGAUCUGAAUGAGUAUGGCUAGGCCUCCUUGGUCCCAGAAGCCUGAGCCUAGACUCCUGGAACCUGACCUUCAAUCUAGCUUCUAUUACUCUGGCUCCAGGUCCAAUGAGCUGAUUCCCCAGCAGUCAGUGGGCUCCUGCCCUGACCUGGUAUCAAGCUCCCUCUAAGACCUUUCAGUUUCUUUCUGAAGCUGUUGGAUACAGUCUAUGACUUCAUCAGGGCUGCCAGGCAGAGCAUAGCAGCCCCCACUUGGCAAUACUCCAGACUCACCUGUCC